rnacentral:misc_RNA from 1 species
GAUGAAGAACGUAGCGAAAUGCGAUAAGUAGUGUGAAUUGCAGAAUUCAGUGAAUCAUCGAAUCUUUGAACGCACAUUGCGCCCCUUGGUAUUCCAUGGGGCAUGCCUGUUCGAGCGUCAUUUGUAUCUUCAAGCUUUGCUUGGUGUUGGGUGUUUGUCUCGCCUUUGCGUGUAGACUCGCCUUAAAAUAAUUGGCAGCCGGCGUAUUGAUUUCGGAGCGCAGUACAUCUCGCGCUUUGCACUCAUAACGACAGCGUCCAAAAGUACAUUUUACACUCUUGACCUCGGAUCAGGUAGGGAUACCCGCUGAACUUAAGCAUAUCAAUAAGCGGAGGA